rnacentral:sRNA from 1 species
GGCAGCGAGCUGUGGUUCCGGUUCCGUCGCGAAGACACGUGAAGGUCGGUGCGGAGUUCGUCUCUGCAAGCGUGGUCGCCCUGGGAUGGAUUCCUCCUCCUCUUCCUCCGCGGCGGGUUUGGGUGCAGUGGACCCGCAGUUGCAGCAUUUCAUCGAGGUAGAGACUCAAAAGCAGCGCUUCCAGCAGCUGGUGCACCAGAUGACUGAACUUUGUUGGGUUCCUGUGGCCUAGCCGGAUGGGAGAAGGGUGACUCCGCUUCUCUGGGGACUCAUUCCGGACCUCGGCUUUGUUGGUGCAGAGGACUGGGUAUCAAAGAAGACUUAUGCCACUGGACACCCAGCACUUUCAGGCACCCGAGGUUGAAGCUGCCUAGUGCUGGUCACCAAGACUGAUCGGAGCUCCCAGUACUGGGAUUUUAUUUUUGGCAGCCCGAGUCCCAGAGAGUCAGUGAAUCAGUGAAUCUGCUAUUCCUGGACUCCUCGGGAUUUACCUUCAUUACCCAGUUCUAACCCUCUCCGCUGAGAAAUGAGUGGCUCCAGCCCACUAACUAUAAAAGUGGUGUAAUCUCUUCCAACGUACAUACUUAUUUGCUUUCUUGUUGGAUUGUUGUGUAAUACCAAGCCGUUUCGGGUCUGAAGGUUGAGGAAUUGAGCCUGCCCUGUGAGGGGACUUUGGCAAAAGGGUGGAAGGCAUUUGCAGCUUGCCAACAACGUGUUCUGCUUGCCAAGGACAGAUCUCCCUUAAUGUACACAAUUCACAGAAUUCAGAGGCCAAGGAUAAUUUUCCUUGGAAUUAGAGGGUCUGAGGCUUGUGUACAUGGCAGAGAAUAAUGAACGAAAUUUUUGAACUACUUAACUUUAACUAUAUACAGUCAUUGGUUUCCAUAGGCCCUUUCCCAUAAACUUACAGUAUUGCUGGACUAUGACACCUACCAGAUGCUUACUUAACUCUGGUCUGCCUUGAACCAGAGUGCUUUGAUUCUUUUUAAAAAAUAUCUGUGAUUCGUUACUUUGGUGCCAGGAGGACGUGUAGUUAAGUACUAUUGCAAGAAUCUGUAAGCUGCCGGGCGCAGUGGCUCAUGCCUGUAAUCCCAGCACUUUGGGAGGCGGGUGGAUCACUUGAGGUCAGGAGUUCGAGACCAGUCUGGGCAACACGGCGAAGCCCUGUCUCUACUAAAAA